rnacentral:rRNA from 1 species
CGGAGGGUGCAAGCGUUGUUCGGAAUUACUGGGCGUAAAGCGCGGGCAGGUGGUUCUUUAAGUCCUUUGUGAAAUUCCGGGGCUCAACCCCGGCUCUGCAUAGGAUACUGGAGGACUGGAGACUGGUAGAGGCGAGCGGAAUUCCUGGUGUAGCGGUGGAAUGCGUAGAUAUCAGGAAGAACACCGGUGGCGAAGGCGGCUCGCUGGGCCAGUUCUGACACUCAUCCGCGAAAGCGUGGGGAGCAAACAGGAUUAGAUACCCUGGUAGUCCACGCCGUAAACGAUGGGCACUAGAUGCCGGGCCUAUAGACGGGUUCGGUGUCGCAGCUAACGCAAUAAGUGCCCCGCCUGGGGAGUACGGCCGCAAGGCUG